UGGGGAUUAGUGGCGAACGGGUGAGUAACACGUGGGCAAUCUGCCCUGCACUCUGGGACAAGCCCUGGAAACGGGGUCUAAUACCGGAUAUUGACCACCGCAGGCAUCUGUGGUGGUGGAAAGCUCCGGCGGUGCAGGAUGAGCCCGCGGCCUAUCAGCUAGUUGGUGAGGUAAUGGCUGGGGGAGGCGACGACGGGUAGCCGGCCUGAGAGGGCGACCGGCCACACUGGGACUGAGACACGGCCCAGACUCCUACGGGAGGCAGCAGUGGGGAAUAUUGCACAAUGGGCGAAAGCCUGAUGCAGCGACGCCGCGUGAGGGAUGACGGCCUUCGGGUUGUAAACCUCUUUCAGCAGGGAAGAAGCGAAAGUGACGGUACCUGCAGAAGAAGCGCCGGCUAACUACGUGCCAGCAGCCGCGGUAAUACGUAGGGCGCGAGCGUUGUCCGGAAUUAUUGGGCGUAAAGAGCUCGUAGGCGGCUUGUCACGUCGGUUGUGAAA
rnacentral:rRNA from 1 species